rnacentral:rRNA from 1 species
UUUUUUUACAUUUGAAAAAUGGACUGCUCAGUAAUACUCACUUUAUUUUAUGUAAAUUUUUAAUUAACUACGUUAAAGUGUAGAUAAGAUGUUUACAGUAAGAGUGAGACCUAUCAGCUAGUUGUUAAGGUAAUGGCUUAACAAGGCUGUGACGGGUAACGGUAUUACUUUGUAAUAUUCCGGAGAAGGAGCCUGAGAGACGGCUACUAAGUCUAAGGAUUGCAGCAGGGGCGAAACUUGACCUAUGGAUUUUAUUUGAGGCAGUUAUGGGAAGUAAUAUUAUAUUGUUUCAUAUUUUAAAAGUAUAUGAGGUGAUUAAUUGGAGGGCAAAUCAAGUGCCAGCAGCCGCGGUAAUACUUGUUCCAAGAGUGUGUAUGAUGAUUGAUGCCAGUUAAAAAGUCCGUAGUUUA